rnacentral:rRNA from 1 species
UACGAAGGUGGCAAGCGAUACUCGGAAUCACUAGGCGUAAAGCGCAGGUAGGCGGUUCGAUAAGUCUUUUGUGAAAGCUCCUGGCUUAACUGGGAGAGGUCAAGGGAAACUGUCGGACUAGAGUGUGGUAGGGGAUACUGGAAUUCCUGGUGUAGCGGUGAAAUGCGUAGAUAUCAGGAGGAACACCAGAGGCGAAGGCGGCUUUCUGGCUGCUAACUGACGCUGAGGCGCGAAGGCUGGGGUAGCGAACAGG